rnacentral:rRNA from 1 species
AUUGAACGCUGGCGGCAGGCUUAACACAUGCAAGUCGAGCGGAGAUGAGGUGCUUGCACCUUAUCUUAGCGGCGGACGGGUGAGUAAUGCUUAGGAAUCUGCCUAUUAGUGGGGGACAACAUUCCGAAAGGAAUGCUAAUACCGCAUACGUCCUACGGGAGAAAGCAGGGGAUCUUCGGACCUUGCGCUAAUAGAUGAGCCUAAGUCGGAUUAGCUAGUUGGUGGGGUAAAGACCUACCAAGGCGACGAUCUGUAGCGGGUCUGAGAGGAUGAUCCGCCACACUGGGACUGAGACACGGCCCAGACUCCUACGGGAGGCAGCAGUGGGGAAUAUUGGACAAUGGGGGAAACCCUGAUCCAGCCAUGCCGCGUGUGUGAAGAAGGCCUUAUGGUUGUAAAGCACUUUAAGCGAGGAGGAGGCUACUGAGACUAAUACUCUUGGUUAGUGGACGUUACUCGCAGAAUAAGCACCGGCUAACUCUGUGCCAGCCGCCGCGGUAA